rnacentral:lncRNA from 1 species
CAACAUGGCACCAGCACCUCGGAAAAUCGUUUGCAUAGUUUUGAGACCCUUGCUCCGAAGCAUUACCUGUUCUGCAUGCACAACGAUCAUUCAAUCAAUAUGACUUCAUGUGCAUGAUUGGAGUCUGUUAGAUACAUCUCAUAAAAAAUCAAGUUCUUAUACCAACUUCUCUGUAACAGAUUACAGCAGAAUAGAGCAGUGAGAAGAGCAAGUAAGUGGAAUAAAUAAGUAAAACACUAAUGCUUACCAGUCUUCUGAUGUUACUCAGUCCUCUAUGUUGGUCGGGGGAUAGAUCAAAUGGACGCUGGUUUUGCUGGAGCUUGAAAUCCACUGAACUUACAACAUCCAAGAAGGCUCACCCUGGACCAACAAGAUUACCUUCUAUUUAUCUGUAGCCUGCCCACGUUGAAGAAAGUUUAAAUGAGGAUAAAUGUAGCAUGACCUGUUCAGUAUAUUAAGCAGUACCAGUUCAGUAUAUUCUACGAGGAUACACAUUCAAGAUCCGUGAGGACA